UACGUAGGGUGCGAGCGUUGUCCGGAAUUAUUGGGCGUAAAGAGCUCGUAGGCGGUGUGUCACGUCGGCCGUGAAAACCUGGGGCUUAACGCUGGGCGUGCGGUCGAUACGGGCAUCACUAGAGUUCGGCAGGGGAGACUGGAAUUCCUGGUGUAGCGGUGAAAUGCGCAGAUAUCAGGAGGAACACCGGUGGCGAAGGCGGGUCUCUGGGCCGAUACUGACGCUGAGGAGCGAAAGCAUGGGUAGCGAACAGG
rnacentral:rRNA from 1 species